CACUGGGCAUGGCGCCACAUUCUUCGCUCCCUUCAUUCUCUAUCUGAGUAACUACAAGAAGACCCUGCCCUACAUCGUCCUGGGCUCUUUGUCUGUUUUUGGCGGACUCCUCUGCCUCCUUCUUCCCGAGACGGCCGACCAGAAUAUGCCCGAAACGGUGGCCGAUGCCGAAUAUUUCGGAGCCGAUCAAUCCUUCUUCCAAAUGCCCUGCCUGUCCAAGCGGUGGGAGCGUCAAUAAAGGUUGAACGACGCCAAGGACGCCGAUGUCACAAUAAGUUCACCCUCGUUCGAAGACGCCCUGGGUGGUGGGACCGCCAGGCCCGCUUGUCAAUACGUCAAGGACCUAUCAGAUCCAGCGUUCACGGGAAUCGGGAGCGCCAAACUCAACCGGCAACAACAAAAUAAACAACAGCAAACGGUUCCGCAUAGACUGGAGCAUCUGCCGACUGAUGGAUGGCACAACAAAGCUUUCGCUUCGAGUGAUCCUUCUUUGGACAAACAUCAAACCUCUCGAUUGUGACUCCUCCUGUGAUUCUUAGAUCCUGAAAGGAACAGUCUGGGAUUUUUUUUUAUUCUCUUUUCUUUUUCCCUUUUUUUUCUU